AUUCCGUGGUAAGGACACUUCCUUAACAACUCCUUAAAUCUCUCCCAUUCAUCAUAUGGAAACUCCCCAUCGUAUUGGUGGAAAUUAUUUAUUUCACCUCUCAACUU